UACAGAGGGGGCAAGCGUUGUUCGGAAUUACUGGGCGUAAAGGGCGCGUAGGCGGCCUGCUAAGUCGAACGUGAAAUCCCCGAGCUCAACUCGGGAACUGCGUCCGAUACUGGCAGGCUUGAAUCCGGGAGAGGGAUGCGGAAUUCCAGGUGUAGCGGUGAAAUGCGUAGAUAUCUGGAGGAACACCGGUGGCGAAGGCAGCAUCCUGGACCGGCAUUGACGCUGAGGCGCGAAAGCCAGGGGAGCAAACGGG
rnacentral:rRNA from 1 species